rfam:TPA: Bos taurus chromosome 13, whole genome shotgun sequence.
UCCCUGGUGGCUCAGUUGGUAAAGUAUCUGCUUGCAAAGCAGAAGACCUGGGUUUGAUUCCUGGGUUGCGAA